UGGCGGACGGGUGAGUAACGCGUGGGUAACCUGCCUCAUGCAGGGGGAUAACGGUUAGAAAUGACUGCUAAUACCGCAUAAGCGCACAGUACCGCAUGGUACGGUGUGAAAAACUCCGGUGGUAUGAGAUGGACCCGCGUCUGAUUAGCUAGUUGGUGGGGUAACGGCCCACCAAGGCGACGAUCAGUAGCCGACCUGAGAGGGUGACCGGCCACAUUGGGACUGGGACACGGCCCAG
rnacentral:rRNA from 1 species